GGGCCGCCAAGUUCCCUAGCGGACUCAUAAUCCGUCGGCCGUGGGUUCGAGUCCCACCCGCCCCA
rnacentral:tRNA from 1 species